GACGUAGGGCGCGAGCGUUGUCCGGAUUUACUGGGCGUAAAGAGCGCGCAGGCGGUCGAUCAAGUCGCGUGUGAAAGCCCCCGGUCAUCACUGGGGAGGGUCGAGCGCAUACUGCUCGACUGGAAGGCAGGAGAGGGGAAGUGGAAUUCCCGGUGUAGUGGUGAAAUGCGUAGAUAUCGGGAGGAACACCGAUGGCGAAGGCAGUCUCUGGGCCACUACUGACGCUGAGAAGCGAAAGCAUGGGGAGCGAACAGG
rnacentral:rRNA from 1 species